rnacentral:other from 2 species
UUCUUUCUGCGGUGCUCGUAGCCACACUUCACCGGGUCAUUUUAAACCCACAUUAGAUAUAAGGGACGCCUAUCUCCGGCCGUGAAUUGCAGGCCUCCCGGCUUUUUGCCGGACGUUGGAAGCGCGGAAGCGAUCGGGCGGCGACCCACCUGCCGAGUCGUGCAGGUUCUAAUCUGACCCCUACGGCAUUGCGGAGGGGGC